AGUGAACGCUGGCGGCGUGCUUAACACAUGCAAGUCGAAUGAGAACGGAAUAUAGCUUGCUAUAUUUGUCAACUAAGUGGCGCACGGGUGAGUAAUGUAUAGAUAACCUGCCCUUAAGAAAGGAAUAACAGUUGGAAACGACUGCUAAUGCCCUAUAUGCCUUUAAUACAUAAGUAUGCAAGGGAAACGCUUUAGUGCUUAAGGAUGGGUCUGUAUGGUAUCAGCUUGUUGGUGAGGUAAUGGCUCACCAAGGCUAUGACGCCUAACUGGUUUGAGAGGAUGAUCAGUCACACUGGAACUGAGACACGGUCCAGACUCCUACGGGAGGCAGCAGUGGGGAAUAUUGCACAAUGGACGAAAGUCUGAUGCAGCAACGCCGCGUGGAGGAUGACACAUUUCGGUGCGUAAACUCCUUUUAUAUAGGAAGAUAAUGACGGUACUAUAUGAAUAAGCACCGGCUAACUCCGUGCCAGCCGCCGCGGUAA
rnacentral:rRNA from 1 species